rnacentral:rRNA from 1 species
AACGAACGCUGGCGGCAGGCCUAACACAUGCAAGUCGAGCGAGGACUUCGGUCCUAGCGGCGGACGGGUGAGUAACGCGUGGGAACGUGCCCUUUGCUUCGGAAUAGCCCUGGGAAACUGGGAGUAAUACCGGAUGAGCCCUUUGGGGGAAAGAUUUAUCGGCGAAGGAUCGGCCCGCGUUGGAUUAGGUAGUUGGUGGGGUAAUGGCCUACCAAGCCGACGAUCCAUAGCUGGUUUGAGAGGAUGAUCAGCCACACUGGGACUGAGACACGGCCCAGACUCCUGCGGGAGGGAGGAAGGGGGGAUCUUGGAACAUGGGGGAAACCCUGAUCUAGCCAUGCCGCGUGAGCGAUGAAGGCCUUAGGGUUGUAAAGCUCUUUCAGCUGGGAAGAUAAUGACGGUACCAGCAGAAGAAGCCCCGGCUAACUCCGUG